AUUGCCGGUGGCUGGCGGCAUGAUUCUCCUUCUCAGGAGACCAUCACCCCCAUCAACAGCUCUCUGCAGGGAGCUGCUCUUGAAUUACUGGGAAAAUGAUCAGGUAUCAGAUCAUGACUGUUUUGCACCUCUCUUCUGAAGAUGCUCUUACUGCUGGAAAAUGUCAUGGGGCAGACCUCCGUCACCCAGCAAGAAGGACAAGUCACCGUGGAACAGAGAAACACAUUCCAGACCACUUGCACGUAUCAAAUCCCCAGCUUGUAUGCCUUGUUCUGGUACCAGCAGAAGAAGGGACAAGCCCCUCAACUGGUCACAUAUCACAACGCAGCAGGCACCAAGCAGAACGGCCGUUUCACCACGGAGCUGAACACUGCGGGGAAAUCCAGCAUUCUGCAGCUGAAGGAAGUUGAGCUCUCUGACAGCGCCUUGUACCUCUGCGCUGUGCAUGACACCUUGGUGCAGGGAGCUGCCCUGGCUGAGCAACAACCCCGGAUGGGGAGGGGAUGUGUCUGUGCAAGGCAGAGCUCUGGAAUGGGGCCCUCAGCUCUCCCCUGGCAGCGCCGCUUCCCCUGUGCACUCCGAGAUCUGCCAGCCAGAUCCUCUUUCCCAGUGGGACUGGUGUCAGUGGCUUGA